AUGCUGUCGCAACGUUUUUUGUAAAGAAUAAUGUGUUCUACAAAGUCGUAGUACAUUAUUUUAUCCUACCAUCAAUAGUUUUCGCAGGGCACGCGAUGUAAAGAAUAUUUUAGGUAAUUUUUUUACACCUUGGGUUACAUUAUUUGAGUUUUAGUAAGGUUCCCUAAUUUUUUUCAAAAAGAUUAUAGCCUAUGUGACUUGGGAAUAGUGUAGCUUCCAAACAGUGAAAGAAUUUUCAAAAUCGGUUCAGUAGUUUCGGAGCCUAUUCAAUACAAACAAACAAACAAAUGUUUCCUCUUUAUAAUAUUAGUAUAGAAGUAUAGAUAUAUCCUAAGUCCUAAGACCUAUGUCCAUCCGCAUAGCAUUAAUCCACUACCGCACUGUGGUUGCACUAAAUUAGAAUGAGGUGAGCGACCGGCUGACGUCAUACGCAAAUUCCCACUAUAUUUUGGGAUUAAUUAAUAGAGCCAACCAGGAGUCCCAUUUAUCUCGGUUGCACCGGACUCAUUCUACUUCCAGUAGACGUGGCUUACAACGCUAAUUUGUGUGACAAGAUUACAGAGUUACGAUUUAGUGUCCCCCAAAUUCCAGGAGCUUAAUUCCACAAAAAACGAACAGGCUCAACAAUAUUAGUAUAGCAAUAUAGUACAGAAUGUACAGAAUUCAUAAUUUAAUUCAUUAUUCAAUUAAAUUUAAUCGAUAAGCUUGGCAAAGUAGGGUUGUCACCUCAAUAUUUUAAAAUUAGAAACGUAUUAUUAGUUAAUCUAUAAAUGUCAAUAUUAUAAAAAAAAAGUUACACAUAUCUUACAGCACACCUCAGUUACUGGAACCCGCAAAAACAUGAAAGUCUUGGUACAAAGACAUAUGUACAUUUUAAAUCAGUACACAUGAUUUCUUCGUACCUAUUCGUACUGAAUAGGGUAAAUGACAGAAAAAUUGCAACGCUUUCAACCAGAAGCUUGUUUAAUGCACUAGAAAAUACACUAGAAACUAAACAUUCCCAUUAAUGUUAUUGAAAAUUUAAAUUUCAAUUAAAUCACAAAACAACGACAAAUAGUAUUAAUUAAAUGUCAAAUUAAAAUAGUAAGAAAUAAAUGAUUUAUUAAUAUUUUAAAUUGACGUUAUAAUCAACCUAUGCGUCUCAAGUGUUUUUAGAAAAAUAAAAGGUAAUUAAAAUUAAUUUAUCAAAAAUAAAACGAAAACUUAAGACCUCUGUUUAAUCAAGCAACGAUAGCAAUACCGAAACAUUUUAAAACUAUCAAAAACACAAACAUAACUAUUUAAACAAAUCAUUAUUUUGUUUGUACCAAAUAUAUUUUCCAGGUACAAAGAAAAUUCAAAAUUAAGAAAAACAGUCUUUGAACUGUCGCUCUUGGCUUUUAAUAUUUUCGAUUUUACUGAGAAAACAUCAUUGGGGUAUUAUAUUUAUUACCUUUGCUACGGACUUAAUGAUUACGACGUAUUAUAAUGGCUAGAAAUCACGAUACUAUAUCUGGCACAAAUCAUGAAUGCAAUCAGACUUAAAGUGUGGGACAACUGCCAUUACAAUACAAGUGAUUGAUAUAAGAGAGAGAGAGAGAAAGACAGAGAGAAAGAGACAGAGAAUACACUUUAUUGCACACCAAAUCACAAUUAACAUUAGAAAACAAUCAACAAGCAGAUACAUUUGUACAAUAGGCGCUAUACUCGAAUAUAGGUGUAGUAACUUUUUUGAACAUUGUUACCAACAAAUGAGUCGUCUAUUAUCAAAGGUGGCAAUCUGUGCAUUUUGACAAAAAAAUGUUAUUGAUAUGUCAAUACAGAUUGAUCUGAAUAUAGUCGUCUCCUUCAAAGAAUACGGUUCAAAACCUGCAUUAAAUAAAGGUUAAUACUUAACCUGUUAUUUAUCUAAGAUGUCGUUCAGAAGAGUUUUGUGACUGCCAAUGGAAUACAAAGUCAAUAAUUCGUUUUUCUGAUUUACCAAUAAUUGUCCAAAAGUCACAUUGCCGGCUUUGAUAAUAGUCGACUCAAAUACAACAAUAAGAAUUCGCCUCAAAUGCGUCACACAUUCGCGUGCUCAUUUCUUGAUCGACACAAUAAAGUUCAAAUUGAAGAGACGAUCGAAGGUCUUUAGGUCAUUGCCAUAGUCAAUGUUAGGCGGAUUACACAGCGAUCAAUCACUGAAGUAUUCAAGAAUUACCCGAAUUACCCUCAAUUACCCUUUUAUAAAUUUAAGCCUUCCGAACCAGUAAGACCCUGUAAGCGUACAGGUCAUUACCCUUUCCGUGAGAGCUGACUUAAUAAAUAUUAAUCGUUGAAUCGUGAUGUCGAAGAAAUCAUUAAUACGAAAAUCUUUUAUCUAUAAACUUCCAUCAAUGCUCAAACAAUACAAAGUAAACUUAAUUUCUCUCUGCAAUAAAAUUGAAAACGCUAUGAAAGACAAAAUAAAAGUUAUCGCCUGCAGUAUUGAGUCAGAGCAAUUGCCUCGGGUAUUCCCUGCGUCCAAUGUUUACUUGCUUCCUCGUAUUCUGUGUCAAGACUGUAAAUGCGUUCUUACUGUAUGCAGCAUCGUAAGUGUCUUUAAAAUAAAUAAAAACUUUAAUCCAACUAAUAGAUAGUUUAUAAGAUGUUUUAUUAGAAGUUUUCAACGUAAUUACCAACGACUCCAAGAUGGAUUGAUUGAAACACGGAACAAUGAUCGAUGACAAUACAAGAUAAAAAAAUUUUUUUACUAAAUAAGGUACAUUUUUUUUUAUUGCUUAGAUGUGUGGACGAGUUCACAGCCCACCUGGUGUUAAGUGGUUACUGGAUCCCAUAGACAUCUACAACGUAAAUGCGCCACACACCUUAAGAUAUAGUUCUAAGGUCUCAGUAUAGUCACAACGGCUGUCCAACCCUUCAAACCGAAACGCAUUACUGCUUCACGGCAGAAAUAGGCGGGGCGGUGGUACCUACCCGUGCGGACUCACAAGAGGUCCUACCACCAUAAAAAAAUCCUAAUACUUUCCUUUAUUAAUGAGACCGUAUGGCCUUAAGAAAUACGACGGUAUUGUAGAAGGAACUAUGAGACGACCGAUCAACGACAAAUCUUUUAUGACGCUCUUUGAACCUGUACCAAAGUAAUAAGCUUGGAUCACGAGUUUCGAACAGUAACUAGGAUUCGUUGACCAAAUAUCAGUGGUCAACUGAUACGUAAUAUGCUUCACCUUCUUCUCCCCGCCUGAAGGAUUGUAGUAUGUACGGUCGGCCCAACGCGCAGCCAUGACUGCCGCCUCAGCGUCUGUACAACGGUAAACGGUUGUCCAAUCCGAGGCGUGCAUAUCGAACCAUUGGUCUUUCGGCACCUGUCUAUUGUUGUCCGGUAUGCCAAGCUCCCAACCAUCUCCGCCGGGCAUUUCUAAAACCCAGUAAUCCGAUGUCAUAAUCGCGGCAUGCCCAAUCAAUCCCCCUACACCUCUACCCGUAAUCAAGACGUCUCCUUUCUUGACCGUGUUAAUGAACUCCCUCUUGUUAUCCACCGUGCUGCGCUUGCUGAUUUUCCUUUGGAACAGCGACUCCUGAGUAUCAGACAGGAUCCCGAAGUUGUUCAUAACAAGCCAAUCAUGGUAAUUAAUCGGUUCGCUGCCGUUCAAAGACCUGUACUCUUUGUAAAUGUCUCUGAAGAUAUCCCUUUCAUCUUUCCCGAAAGAUUCCAAUGAAUAUUUUUCGGAAUUGAUUAUUCCCAUGCUGACGCCGGUGCGAUAGGCUUCGGAAAC